rnacentral:tRNA from 1 species
AGCUUUAUAGUCAAUAUAAUGAUAUUAGACUGCAAUUCUAAAGUAGAUUAAAUCUAAAGCUU